AGAGGCAGUCCUCCUUCUUAGCCUCAUGGCCCCGGCAUCGCCUCUCUCUGACCUGCUCACAAGGAAGCGACAUCCUAUUGGAAGCAGACGGGUAAGCCAAGAAGUGCAGUCCUAUAUGGUAACGCUUGUGCGUUGUAAGAGUGGCCUUUACCAAGGGAAUUUGAAGGCUUUAUGAAAGAAUGCUGCAGCUUGAAGUGCCGCUGAAAUGCAAGUUACCGCUGACCUUCCCGAUGACAUUAGGGACAGCUGGGCUGCACGGCUUCUCUGCAGCCUUCCCUCACCAGAGCUCAUCCUGGAUGCUCUGACUGGAUGUUGCCAGUGUUUAAAAUCAGAGUUUGAGGUGAGUGGAUGUAGUAGGGGAAACGCUUGGGUUUUGAUUACACUUAGGAUUACUGGAUAUUAAGCUUGGAGAAAUAAAGAAAUUCAAGAGCAUUAAUGUAUGCUUGGUCCCAGAAAUGUUAGGAACCCAUGUCCCAAGUCUCCUCUCCCACCCUUACUUCCUCUGCCACGAAUGGAUCCUGGCCGAGCCGCAGGGAGCCUUCUGGGAUCCCUACUGCCAUGAAGCCCUUGCCGUUAGGACUUCUUUCUUAGCCACUCCUUUUCCACUGCUGGCAGGUGAGUCAAAUAAAGGGCCUGAUGGUUUAUCUCAGAGCCUAGCAGAGAGCCUUACCUGGCAAAAGCAGACUGGUUGGUGAGGAAGGUUGUGUGGCACAUACUGAGAUGCUCCUGUGGGUCAAAUUAUGUGAAAGCCUUUGCAAAUAGUUGUUCAUUCUCACUUGGCAAAUACAGUCUCUGAGAUCAGUUACUUUCUUCAAGGUGGCAAAGUGUUUCCCUCCCUA